AGAGUUUGAUCAUGGCUCAGGACGAACGCUGGCGGCGUGCCUAAUACAUGCAAGUAGAACGCUGAAGAGAGGAGCUUGCUCUUCUUGGAUGAGUUGCGAACGGGUGAGUAACGCGUAGGUAACCUGCCUUGUAGCGGGGGAUAACUAUUGGAAACGAUAGCUAAUACCGUAUAAUAAUGGAUGACACAUGUCAUUUAUUUGAAAGGGGCAAUUGCUCCACUACAAGAUGGACCUGCGUUGUAUUAGCUAGUAGGUGAGGUAAUGGCUCACCUAGGCGACGAUACAUAGCCGACCUGAGAGGGUGAUCGGCCACACUGGGACUGAGACACGGCCCAGACUCCUACGGGAGGCAGCUGUAGGGAAUCUUCGGCAAUGGGGGCAACCCUGACCGAGCAACGCCGCGUGAGUGAAGAAGGUCUUCGGAUCGUAAAGCUCUGUUGUAGGUCAAGAACGGGUGUGAGAGUGGAAAGUUCACACUGUGACGGUAGCUUACCAGAAAGGGACGGCUAACUACGCGCCAGCAGCCGCGGUAAUACGUAGGUCCCGAGCGUUGUCCGGAUUUAUUGGGCGUAAAGCGAGCGCAGGCGGUUUGAUAAGUCUGAAGUUGAAGGCUGUGGCUCAACCAUAGUUCGCUUUGGAAACUGUCAAACUUGAGUGCAGAAGGGGAGAGUGGAAUUCCAUGUGUAGCGGUGAAAUGCGUAGAUAUAUGGAGGAACACCGGUGGCGAAAGCGGCUCUCUGGUCUGUAACUGACGCUG
rnacentral:rRNA from 1 species